rnacentral:rRNA from 1 species
GACGUAGGGGGCCAGCGUUGCUCGGAAUUACUGGGCGUAAAGGGUUCGUAGGCGGUGCGGCAAGUCGGGAGUGAAAUCUCUGGGCUUAACUCAGGGGCUGCUUCCGAAACUGCCGUGCUUGAGUGCGGGAGAGGCGAGUGGAAUUGCAGGUGUAGCGGUGAAAUGCGUAGAUAUCAGGAGGAACACCGGUGGCGAAGGCGGGUCUCUGGGAAGUAACUGACGCUGAGAAGCGAAAGCGUGGGUAGCGAACAGG